UUUAUAUAGUAUAUUAAUUAUAUUUGACUUCCAAUCAAAAGAACUGAAAACUCAGUAUAAAUAAUCAUAA
rnacentral:tRNA from 1 species